UACGAAGGGGGCUAGCGUUGCUCGGAAUCACUGGGCGUAAAGCGCACGUAGGCGGGUUUUUAAGUCAGGGGUGAAAUCCUGGAGCUCAACUCCAGAACUGCCUUUGAUACUGGGAAUCUCGAGUCCGGGAGAGGUGAGUGGAACUGCGAGUGUAGAGGUGAAAUUCGUAGAUAUUCGCAAGAACACCAGUGGCGAAGGCGGCUCACUGGCCCGGUACUGACGCUGAGGUGCGAAAGCGUGGGGAGCAAACAGG
rnacentral:rRNA from 1 species